UGCAAAUGAUGUUUAUCUCACGAUGGUCUUCCAAGCCGCUGGCUCUGACGACACUGCCUCACGGCGACACUGAUGCAGCGCA